rnacentral:rRNA from 1 species
GACGAACGCUGGCGGCGUGCCUAAUACAUGCCAGUAGAACGCUGAAGGAGGAGCUUGCUUCUCUGGAUGAGUUGCGAACGGGUGAGUAACGCGUAGGUAACCUGCCUGGUAGCGGGGGAUAACUAUUGGAAACGAUAGCUAAUACCGCAUAAUAGUAGAUGUCGCAUGACAUUUGCUUAAAAGGUGCAAUUGCAUCACUACCAGAUGGACCUGCGUUGUAUUAGCUAGUUGGUGAGGUAACGGCUCACCAAGGCAACGAUACAUAGCCGACCUGAGAGGGUGAUCGGCCACACUGGGACUGGGACACGGCCCAGACUCCUACGGGAGGCAGCAGUAGGGAAUCUUCGGCAAUGGACGGAAGUCUGACCGAGCAACGCCGCGUGAGUGAAGAAGGUUUUCGGAUCGUAAAGCUCUGUUGUAAGAGAAGAACGAGUGUGAGAGUGGAAAGUUCACACUGUGACGGUAUCUUACCAGAAAGGGACGGCUAACUACGUG